UGCAGGAGGAGCUUGUUGUGG
rnacentral:siRNA from 1 species